rnacentral:rRNA from 1 species
UAACGGCGAGUGAAGCGGCAACAGCUCAAAUUUGAAAUCUGGUCCCUAGGGCCCGAGUUGUAAUUUGUAGAGGAUGCUUUUGGUGAGGUGCCGCCCGAGUUCCCUGGAACGGGACGCCACAGAGGGUGAGAGCCCCGUCUGGCUGGCCGCCGAGCCUCUGUAAAGCUCCUUCGACGAGUCGAGUAGUUUGGGAAUGCUGCUCAAAAUGGGAGGUAUAUGUCUUCUAAAGCUAAAUAUUGGCCAGAGACCGAUAGCGCACAAGUAGAGUGAUCGAAAGAUGAAAAGCACCUUGAAAAGAGGGUUAAAUAGUACGUGAAAUUGUUGAAAGGGAAGCGCUUGUGACCAGACUUGGGCGCGGCGGAUCAUCCGGGGUUCUCUCCGGUGCACUUCGCCGCGUCUAGGCCAGCAUCAGUUCGUCGCGGGGGAAAAAGGCUCCGGGAACGUGGCUCCUCCGGGAGUGUUAUAGCCCGUUGCAUAAUACCCUGCGGUGGACUGAGGACCGCGCAUCUGCAAGGAUGCUGGCGUAAUGGUCACCAGCGACCCGUCUUGAAACACGGACCAAGGAGUCGUCUUCGUAUGCGAGUGUUCGGGUGUCAAACCCCUACGCGUAAUGAAAGUGAACGCAGGUGAGAGCUUCGGCGCAUCAUCGACCGAUCCUGAUGUUCUCGGAUGGAUUUGAGUAAGAGCAUACGGGGCCGGACCCGAAAGAAGGUGAACUAUGCCUGUAUAGGGUGAAGCCAGAGGAAACUCUGGUGGAGGCUCGCAGCGGUUCUGACGUGCAAAUCGAUCGUCAAAUACU